UGGGGAAUUUUGGACAAUGGGCGAAAGCCUGAUCCAGCAAUGCCGCGUGUGUGAAGAAGGCCUUCGGGUUGUAAAGCACUUUUGUCCGGAAAGAAAUCCUUGGCUCUAAUACAGUCGGGGGAUGACGGUACCGGAAGAAUAAGCACCGGCUAACUACGUGCCAGCAGCCGCGGUAAUACGUAGGGUGCAAGCGUUAAUCGGAAUUACUGGGCGUAAAGCGUGCGCAGGCGGUUUGCUAAGACCGAUGUGAAAUCCCCGGGCUCAACCUGGGAACUGCAUUGGUGACUGGCAGGCUAGAGUAUGGCAGAGGGGGGUAGAAUUCCACGUGUAGCAGUGAAAUGCGUAGAGAUGUGGAGGAAUACCGAUGGCGAAGGCAGCCCCCUGGGCCAAUACUGACGCUCAUGCACGAAAGCGUGGGGAGCAAACAGGAUUAGAUACCCUGGGUAGUCCACGCCCUAAACAAUGUCAACUAGUUGUUGGGGAUUCAUUUCCUUAGUAACGUGCUAACGCGUGAAGUUGACCGCCUGGGGAGUACGGUCGCAAGAUUAAAACUCAAAUG
rnacentral:rRNA from 1 species